CGGUCUCUCGACGCUCACCUCAAGUCCUCACCUCAGACUCAAACCUCACCACUCUCCUCGCCGAUUUGCAAUUUGUCUCUCCUCCUCCCACAUCCGUUGCCUGCAUCCCGAAUCUACCCACACCACCAGUCCUCAUUCCUCUCAAUCUUCACUCCUCACCUGAAUCGCGCCUUCACCUGAAUCUACCCACCCGAAUCCGGCUCUUGAAUCGAGCUCUCGACCUCAGUCCGCACUUCUCCUCACUGCAAAAGAGUUCACUUCUUCCUCGGCCUUCCACAACCCACCUCAGGCAUCCUCAGGCAUAUUUGGUUAUGUUGAGAUUGUGUGUUUUGCAUAUUUGGUUGUUUCGUUUGAUUUUAUUCUUUAACAUCUGGUAGUUUAUAGAAAUUGUUCAAUAAAUGGUACUUUAUUAAUUAUUGACAUCUAAAGUUGUGCUUCAACGACAAUUAUAGAGACUAGGAGUGUUUCGAGGUUGUUUCCAUUGAGGAGCUGGGUUGUUUAUAGAAUAGGAUUUGAUUUUAGUCUUCUUCGUGGGCAUCUAUCUACUGCAUCAAGUCUAGAGAGUUAUCUUUUUCUGUUAUUUGUUCUGUUUAAAAAGCAGGUGUAAGGUAUUUUAAUAAGUUUCUGUUUUCUAUACACACACAUAUAAGAAACAAUGUAUAUCCAGUUGGUUCUUGAGACUUUCAUCCUACUCGUACUCAGCGCCACAUGGAAAUUUCUUGCAGGAAAGAUUGUCAGAUUGGCACAUUGCUUUUGAA